rnacentral:misc_RNA from 1 species
UUGAUUUAUUUUGCUUGUGCCACUCAGAAUUCACCGGUAAAAAUGCAGGGUUUGCGUGUCCCCGACGGCGGCCCCGGGGGGCCUCCGCCGAAGCAACAUGGUAGUGUCCACAGGGGUUUGGGAGUUGUAAACUCGGUAAUGAUCCCUCCGCUGGUUCACCAACGGAGA